GAAAAUAAAGGCAAUGAAUGAGCCAAAAAACCUCAUUAUGCAUUGCUACUCACAAAUGACCACUUCAAAGAACAUGCAAGUAUGUAUGUCAUUAACAAUUGCAAACAUAAGUUUCUUUUUACUACAGAUGUUGUAUCUACUAUCACACAUUUCCUCAUUCUAUCCGUUCUCACUCAAUAAUAAGAAAAAGGAAAAGGAAAGAUAAAGAUAAUCUUCCGCAAUUGCACUUCGGUGUCAUGGAUUCAGUCUGCCGCUUCAACAUCUCAUUAUCUUGCAGCAACGGAAAUUUUCCCCAAAAUUACCUUUUGCAACUCUUCAAAUCUCUUCGUUGAAGCAAACAGUGAGGUAAACCUAUAAAUAAAAGAUUGUCCUAUAAGCAUUGCAGACUUCAAUCAUGGGAGAAUUAUAAGAGUGUACAAGGACAUAUACAAAAAAUGGAACCAACCUUUAAAAGUUUAUCUUGUAGCUCCCUAUUUUAGGCCAAUUCCGUGUCAUAUUGUGCGCAUAUGUGAUAACCUCGAGGUAAGAUCUCCGCACAAACCUUCCAACUCUGUCGCUAUCUUCUACCUAUGAAUGAAAACAGACCUUACUUGUUAGAGAAGCAAAUGUGAAACCUGAUUACAACAUGUAUGCUAAGUCACUAACCCAUAGAGGCAACUAGACCAAAUGUGAAAACUUCCCAUGUUGCCGAGGAAUUAUAUGAGCACCCCUCAAAACAUCAAUUAGCAAGUACUUGACACAAACAAACUUGUACAGAAAAAAGUAACACUUCCGAAUUUAAUAGGCUUCAAAGAUUGCAAGGAAGGCAUACUGAUGAGCUGCAAUGCAAUCUUCAAUGUUCAGUACUUGUACAUGCUAUUGCUCCUGCGGUGCAACCCCUAGCUCCUGUGGCUUCACAAAGUCUGACAUUGUAUAAGACGUUUUCAGCAAAGGGUGAAAUUGCAUACAUAUACAUCUCAAAUCAUAUGUAGUAUGUGUCUAGUCAUCCUACGAUUGCCCGAGCUCAGAACUGCAUUUCUUAUAAAAACUUUAGACAUGUUCAGGAAACACAUGUAGGAAACGACAAGUGUAUAGAUCACCCAUUUUUAUAGGUUCAAAGACAGAUAACAAAAAUUAACUAGACAAAGUUAGAUGACAGUGAAGCUUAAAGCUGCAGUAAGAAACAUUAGAUAUACACAUUUUGAAAAUCAAUCUCGGUGGAACAACAUAAGAUUGCAUUUAGAUUUCAGAAUUAAACAUAGGCAUAUCUCAUAGUUUAAAACAAAGGCACUCAACAGAAAAGUGCCUAUAAGAUUCCAAAAUAACUCAACAAGCUGCUUCAGCUAGCGUCAUAUGAGGGGAUAUAGAUGUAUAAAAUUUGAGAGAAAACCGAACUGGGAUAAAAAUUAAGACACAUCUAAUGUAGUUAUCGGCCAACGAAGAGACAAGCAAGUGGAACACUAAUUGCUAACGAGUGGAAAUAGAUACCGAACUGGGAUAAAAAACAAACAGUAGGAUCUACUUGUGGUAGUUGCCAUCCUCCGACACACGCUCCAAUCUGAAGGUAUAUGCAAAUAUACAUGUUUUACUGCAAAUCAUUAUGGCUCGCCUCCUUUUUGUUGAAGUUCCACAGUAGUUCCUCUACAUGUUCCAAAGUGUAAUUGUUCCAUGUAGAUUUUAGGUAAAGAGCAUAUACUAUGGAUGCAUACAUAGAUUAUUCUAGAGGUUCUUCCAUUUGGUCGAUGGCGGAUCACUGAAACUAAAUAGUGUUGUGGAAAGUAUUUAAUUUUUUGCCAGGAAAGAAAUUAUGGACACUGUUGUCUCUUAAGAGAAGGAUUUAUCUCUGUUGAAUGUUCUUGUGCUACUUUUGCCCAUCUUAAUUUCUUAGCCACACUGAAGAGUUCCCUGGUGUCACAAGCUUACACAAACUAUCUCAAAUAUAUGUGACUUACGGCUGUCUAGGUAUGCACCGGAGAUCAAAAUAAAUAAAUCAAGGUCUAUGUACAGAGCACAGCCACAUCCAAUCCAAUCGAUCCAGCCCUAGGAUCGAACUCUCCUCCUAACCCUAGCAACCAACGGGGGCACCAGCCAACACUGACGCUACCAGAAUCGCAUCAAUCACACGGCACCACAGAGGAAAAUGCAGCGCUGGAGGAGGGUGGGGUUACCUUGAGGAUGCCGAGCUUGACGGAGCCGUAGACGACGCCGCCGAAGGCGGAGACCCUGG
rnacentral:lncRNA from 1 species